CGGCCACAUAAGACGGACGAUCCCCGGCCCGGAUGAGCUGCAGUCCGGUCAGACAGAGCACAAAGCCGGCCGUCCACAUAACCCGCAACGACAUGAGGACCGAUGCGCAAACAGCCGUGAGCGAGCGCCACACAUUCUUCAUAUCAGCGUAUGCAGUCUGUGCAGGUUUGUUUAAAGUCGUCGCAGGAGCCUGAGAUUUGGCCAAUGUAACGUGAACAGUGGUUUAUUUUGGAGUACACAGUUAAAGCAUCAAUCCUCCAGAGAGAUGACGCGAGUGUAUGAAGGACACGCUCAAGGUCAUGACCUGCCUACACAUCACAUCACACACAUCCAAAACUACUGACCUUUCUGUCUAUUCACACAGUACAUGUAUCACGCAGCUGUCUCAGUUCUGUGAUGUCAUGAGGGAACUAAGCUUUAGGAAAUGAUAAGUGUUCAUCAUACACACCACGAGCCCAGAAGUGCAGCUACCUACACUAGAAAUACUGAUGUAUGACGGCACUGUUCUGUUUGUUGUACAAUGAGCUGUUGACAUUUCGGGAAAGAGCCACAGUGUCAGUACAGUUGAGAGUCUAGAAACGAUGAACACAAAGCCGUCACUGUAGUUACACAACCCAUCCAGACCCACUACAACCCACUCACAGACUACUACACAAUGAGGGUGCUGUAGUAGUGCACACUUACACUAGAGAGAUUAUUUGCUGUAUAAACUGAAAGUAGCAAUGUUACUAACACAGACCCAUCGCUGUAUUUUGAGUAGCAAAAAUAAAACCGGUGAAUUUCUUAUAUGUUAAUAUAAAGUUUAGUUUUAUUGUUUGUAUAUAGUGCAAUUUUGUGGCUUUAUGUAUCUUUGUGAGGACUUGCCAUAGACUUCUAUUGUUUUUAUACUUUAUACUAUGGUAUUUAUAUUCUCUAUCUUUAACCACGCGGCUUAACCAAACCUCACACAAACGUUCCUGCUUUUUUAUAUUUUAAACAAGCAUCAUUUAGUUUGUUUUCCAUCGUGAGAACCGUUCACACGUGGUCCCAAAACAAUCUAUUUUUCAAUGUUUUUUUGCUCUUGCUAAAUCUGUACGGUUUCAAAGUGACAACAUAAAGAAACGUUACUGCGCAUGCGCGCCUUCAUGGACUGCCCUUAACUUCCGGUACACAUUCACAAACAAUAGAGUGCCUGUAGAUUAUUUCUGAUAACACGCAAAAGAAACCCAGAAGAAGCGUUACUUGGCUAAACUCGUAGUUUUAAUUUAGACUGCGAUACCAAGCUCAACCGCUAGAUGUCAGUGUAUCAUAAAUGUAUUUAAAGUCCCCGUGAACCGGAAGUUGCGAUCGUUUUUACUUCCGUAUUUUGACGCAUUUCCAAAUGAAAUGGAAUUUCUGAUGAUAAAAAUAGUGGCCGUGACAGUUGAAGGGGAGGAGUUAACGGAUGCUCCGCCCAAGCCGUCUAACAUGCGUCAUUUAAGAUACAGGAAGGAAGUGCAUUUUCAGAUUUUAGCUAAAAAUUAUGAGGGCACACGAAUUUUAACAAGAGCAUGACCCACAUUGAUAAACUAUUUACAAUAAACGCUGCAAUAUUUCAUGAAAAAUAGGCAUUGUCUUUUUUAUUUCACUGGGACUUUAAAUCCGAUCCCAUUCAAUAAAAUGAACAUACAACAAAAUUCAACAAAUCGUUUAUUUGAUACAACUAUUAUGCAAUAAAAUAAUAAUAUAAAUUAAUAUUUACACAAAUUAAAUCAAAUAUAAAUAGUUAUAUAAUAAGACACUAGCCAAACACAGACCGGAAGUUAACUGCAGCCCCGGCGCGAGCGUCCGGUGAAACGCUCUCUACACACAGCACAGCGACAGUCCAAGCAUCUCUGAUUUUCUGACCUAUUUCUCUCCUGCAGCUGGGCAGACGUGAUGCAGAUGUAAUGCGGAUGGAUUUUUCGUUAGCUGAGAACGGUUGAAAUCCUGUCUGAUAAACAUUUCAUGACCUCAGAAUCAUCUUAAGGCACAGCAUCAUAAACUCUCUGUGACCCGCUAAAAAUACUGACCCGGUUUUCUGUCGACUGUCAAAGCAAAGUUCAGGAAACCCGCGGGCGGCUCUAACAGCACAAUAACUCUAAGCCCUUCAGAGGAAACUUUCCUGUCCUGAGAGGAUUGUGUUCACAGGAAUAGUUUUUCUCCUAUUGAAAAUUACAGCGUGUGUUUUUGAGCCGUGACCUUCAGAGAGAUCAUGAGGACACAUUAGUGUGUGUGAUGCUGGUGGGACGUUUAGCAGUGAUGUGGUUUUAUGUGUGUUGUGUUAAAAAUCUCUUCUCUUGUCUAACAGGAGCACACACACUGAGGUGAGAUCAGCUGUCACGUGUCGAGGUCGUCGCUCAAUGACUCACGUGAAGGACAGAACAGAUGUCAUAGCACGAGACCCUGAGUGAUAAUUCUGGGUGUGAAGAGUAACCCACCUGACGGGCCGCCCGUCUGGCCUCCCAGUACGGUUUUGAGUCUUCGACAGCUUUACCAAUCUUCUUCACCUGCUCGUCGAGCUUGACGGUCGCCUCCACCAGAACCGCCCGAAACUUCUGCCUGGAGUCCUGAAGUGAGGAGGAGCUCAAUGACAAAAGAGACGUCAGACGGAUUCAAACUUCCUCCAUCAAGACACAUCCGGCUUCACGGUGGUGAAUCACAGGCCAAAUACAGUCAAAAUACUGAGAACAGCCGGAAAUCCGACAGAUAUGUGAAGGAUUUCAGUCACAUGGAAGACACUUCCUAUUGGUCGGGGAAGAGCAGGGGGAGGGGCUAUCAGAGUUUUUCCACUUAGGAAUUCCUCCAAAAUCGCUGACACCAUGAAGAAAGCAUGUGAGUACCUCUAGUUCGGUCUCCCAGCGGUUGAUGUUUUCAGUGGACUGAUUCAGUUUCUCCAGUUCACCCUGUUGAGGAGAUAAAGUGAGACACAUUAAGCCGAGAAUCCAGUGAGAUCUUCAGCAUAUGAACAUCUGGAUGGUGUUAUUCAAGUUACCCAACACUGAAGUGUGUUUUUCUUCUCAUGUUAACUACAUGCUGACAGAUGUUUUAAGCUGUUGUUUUUUAAUGUUGUCGUUUAGUAACAAAUUAAGUUCAUGCACACGAUUAAAAAUAAUUUUGAUUAAAUAAAUAAUGAUUCUUGAUAUGUGGACAGUAUACAAUUUUUUUUCCCGUGCAAGUAUAAAUAUCAUUGGGUUGUAUGCAAAAUAUAUCUACAGGAGUAUCACGGGUUGUAAAGCAUAAUUUAAAAAAAAUUCACAGUGAAGUUUCUGUAAAUGGUAAAACAAAAGAGACAGCUAAAUAAAUGAAUGUCAUAACUAUAGAAACAAAAUAUCAAGCCAACUGAUAAUGAUGUUCUGAACUUAUUUUUCUUUUCUUGAGAAGUUUUACAUAUGAUAGACUGAUAUAUCGCAGUGGCCCGUAUUAUCAAAAGAUUUUUACAAUGAUUUUCAAACGGUUGGUGUCAAAAUGAUUUUUUGAACAUUUCACAGCAGAAAACCUACAGGUGCAGUUCAUUCAACUUUGAACAUGGUCCAGUGAUUUGGAAAGUGUCUGGAUACUUUUUUUGUCAACAUUUGAAAUGGCAAAUUUGUUUUAUGUUUAUAGGAAAAUGAUGAAAUGUGUGCUUGAGCUAGCUUUCUUUAAACUUGAUGUAAUGCAAAAUCAUUCAUAUUAUUUUUAAUUCUGCAUUAAGUGUGUAAAUACUUUG